rnacentral:tRNA from 1 species
UGGGUUGUGGCUCAAUGGUAGAGCACUCGCCUGGCAAGUGUGAAGCCCUGAAUUCGAUCCUCAGCACCACAU